rnacentral:rRNA from 1 species
GACGAACGCUGGCGGCGUGCUUAACACAUGCAAGUCGAACGGAAAGGCCCUGCUUGCAGCUUACUCGAGUGGCGAACGGGUGAGUAACACGUAGGUAUUCUGCUCUGCACUUCGGGAUACGUCUGGGAACCUGGGCCUAAUCCCCGUACGUCGCCAUUGUUAGUGUGAUGGUUGUAAGGUUUUUUCGGUGUAGGAUGAGCUGGCGGCCUAUCAGCUUGUUGGUGGGGUAAUGGCCUACCAAGGCGGCGACCGGUAACCGGCCUGAGAGGGUGGUCGGCCACACAGGCACUGAGAUACGGCCGAGACGCCGACGGGAGGCAGCAGUGGGGAAGAUUGCACAAUGGGCGCAGGGCGUGUGCAGCGAGGCCGCGUAGUGGAUAACAGCUUACGGUUGGUGAACUGCUAGUGCGAGAGACGAAGGUUGUUUUGACGUUACCUAGAGAAGAAGCACCGGCUAACUACGUG